UCUAUUGGGUUAUUGAUUUAAGUCUGUUCUGCUCAAUGAUUAAUCUUAAAUAGCUGCAGUAUAUUAACUGUACAAAGGUAGCAUAAUAAUUUGUCUUUUAAUUGGGGGCUAGUAUGAAUGAUUGGACGAGAUACCAGCUUUCUUUAAUUUAAUUUAUGAAUUUGAUUUUUUAGUGAAAAUGCUAGGAUUUUUUUGUGGGACGAGAAGACCCUAUAGAAUUUUAUUGAUUAAUAUAUUUUAUGUUUGAGUUUUAGUUUUGUGUAAAAUAUAUUUUAUUAAUUUGGUUGGGGUGAUUAUGAAAUUUUUUUAACUUUUAUUAAAUAUUUUUCAAUAAUUGUUGUUUGUGUUGAUCCUUUAUUAUGGAUUAUAAGAAAGAAUUACCUUAGGGAUAACAGCGUAAUUUUGUUGGAGAGUUCUUAUCGAUAAUAUGAGUUUGCGACCUCGAUGUUGGAUUAAAGUAAUUUUUAGGUGUAGGUGCUUAAAUUUUUGAGUCUGUUCGA
rnacentral:rRNA from 1 species